rnacentral:antisense_RNA from 1 species
CUUCACAGAGCCGAGCCACAGCCGUUGGUCCCCGUCGCGGUCCUGCCCGUACGUCGCGAGCAGCGCCUGCGCCUC